UGGGGAAUAUUGCGCAAUGGGCGAAAGCCUGACGCAGCGACGCCGCGUGAGGGAUGAAGGCCUUCGGGUCGUAAACCUCUUUCAGCAGGGAAGAAGCGAAAGUGACGGUACCUGCAGAAGAAGCACCGGCUAACUACGUGCCAGCAGCCGCGGUAAUACGUAGGGUGCAAGCGUUGUCCGGAAUUAUUGGGCGUAAAGAGCUCGUAGGCGGUCUGUCGCGUCUGCUGUGAAAACUCAGGGCUUAACCCUGAGCUUGCAGUGGGUACGGGCAGACUAGAGUGCGGUAGGGGAGACUGGAAUUCCUGGUGUAGCGGUGAAAUGCGCAGAUAUCAGGAGGAACACCGGUGGCGAAGGCGGGUCUCUGGGCCGUAACUGACGCUGAGGAGCGAAAGCAUGGGGAGCGAACA
rnacentral:rRNA from 1 species